GACUGUAACUUCAGAGUGAAGAAUGCCAAAGCUUGUCUAUGGAUUAACAUCAGUUAAAACAUCAGAAUACAGUAUUUGCUUUAAAAGAAUCAAUAAAAACAACAGUACUGAGAAAGGAAGUAGAAGAAAGAAAACUACUUGGUGGCUAAGCACACAGGCACAAAGGCACAGAAGACAGCAGCACAGGGAUGAAAUAUUCUUUACAGAGUGCUACUAGUCAAAAUGAAAUGAAUGAGCCAUAUGAAAUCCUGCUUCAACUUUUAUACCAGUAUAAAGAAAACAGAUUUUUAAAGUGUGCUGCAUUCAAUUGUGAGAAAGAUUGAAGCUACAUAUAUUUUAGAGUUCAAAGUAAACAAACAAUAAAUGAAUGAAUGAACAUUACACAGUAAUCUAUUUAGAAAAUCUAUCUAACCAGGCCUGAUCCUGAAACGUGUUUUCGGAAAGAAUUCCAUAAACAUGGUAUUCAGCUGUAAGAACUGCAGGACUUGGAUCCAACAGCUAUGCCUUCAAGUCCUUAAUAAAAAUGAAUAUAUUUAACUUCUAUCUUUCUUAAGUAAAAUAAAUAUUUUCCAUAAUAAACGAUUUCUUUUUCUGGAGGAAAUGUCUAUCAUUUUUAAGACCACGCCCAUUAAACUCCUAAGGUCUUAAAAAGGUUUCUUAUGCAACCUCAUGAACAGAUGCCUAAAUAGGGUGGAGAACCAAAGAGAAAGUGCUGAUAAAACACAAAGCUCAUCUAUCAUAUUUGUAGUUAUUAACAAGAAACAUAAGGUACAGAAAAAUGCUCCAAACCCUCUUUAUUUGGCCAACCAGUUCAAUGGAACUACCUGCACCAGGAGAGCAGAUUUUCGGCCAAAUACGGGUUCAGAUGCAUCUUUAAAAGGACUACAGAAAGGGAGAAGACUCUAGAAGAAUAUUUCCUCUGGGAUGAGUGCUUUAUUGCAAAAGCAGAAACAUAAAAAUUGAAUCUGAAAGAAACAGUUCUUAUGGAAUCGGCUGAAGUCAAAGAAGUUCGGGCACACUGUGUAAACUCACAUUUAUGCUGUAUUUGGUUGGGGAGAGCAGGAUAUAAAGCUUUCUCUCAGACUUGGCAGCAGGCGGAAAACAUUCUGAAGGACCUUUUGUUUGAUCUCUGGUGGCUGAGUAUCCACCUUGGGCUUUCUCCUUACAUAUGGAUCUACUGAGACGUGCUGCUGCUGAAUUCAACAGAAUUGAGCCCUAACUGUGAUUGGGAUAUGAGGACACAUAAUUAGCUGUGUUAGAAAACUGACCCUCAGUCUUUCAUUAAGAUGGAAUUUUACCCUGUAAAAUUUGAAUUAGUAAAGACAUUUUAAUCAGGAAAAUAAAAUAACCAAAUGAU